rnacentral:precursor_RNA from 10 species
CAGUCACACAUCUGGUUUAACUUGCGCUGCAGACCACGGCUGUCGGGUGGGUUGAUGUUAAGGCAGCUCAUCAUCAGUCUUGCGUCUGCAACUCCCAUUUUGGAUUUCGUCAGGGCCAG